rnacentral:rRNA from 1 species
UACGUAGGAGGCGAGCGUUUGUCCGGAGUUACUGGGCGUAAAGGGUGCGCAGGCGGCGGUUCGCGUGGAUAGAUGAAAUCUCCUGGCUUACCUGGGAGGAUGGUAUCCAGACGGGAUCGCUUGAGGGUCGGAGAGGGGCGUGGAAUUCCGGGUGGAGCGGUGAAAUGCGUAGAGAUCCGGAGGAACACCGACGGCGACGGCAGCGCCCUGGACGACACCUGACGCUGAGG